rfam:Paraburkholderia caribensis strain Bcrs1W chromosome 3, complete sequence.
GUCGGCGUCGUCAGCGUCAAGCCGACGGGCGUGCCCGUCACCGUCGAAUUGCCCGGCCGCGUGAGCGCGCAUCUCGUGGCUGAAGUGCGGGCGCGUGUCGACGGCAUCGUGCUGAAGCGCACGUUCACGGAAGGCAGCGAGGUCAAGGCGGGGCAGACGCUCUACAAGAUCGA